rnacentral:rRNA from 1 species
GCUCAACUGAAGAAGUGCAUCGGAAACUGGGAAACUUGAGUGCAGAAGAGGACAGUGGAACUCCAUGUGUAGCGGUGAAAUGCGUAGAUAUAUGGAAGAACACCAGUGGCGAAGGCGGCUGUCUGGUCUGUAACUGACGCUGAGGCUCGAAAGUAUGGGUAGCAAACAGGAUUAGAUACCCUGGUAGUCCAUACCGUAAACGAUGAAUGCUAAGUGUUGGAGGGUUUCCGCCCUUCAGUGCUGCAGCUAACGCAUUAAGCAUUCCGCCUGGGGAGUACGGCCGCAAGGCUGAAACUCAAAGGAAUUGACGGGGGCCCGCACAAGCGGUGGAGCAUGUGGUUUAAUUCGAAGCUACGCGAAGAACCUUACCAGGUCUUGACAUACUAUGCAAAUCUAAGAGAUUAGACGUUCCCUUCGGGGACAUGGAUACAGGUGGUGCAUGGUUGUCGUCAGCUCGUGUCGUGAGAUGUUGGGUUAAGUCCCGCAACGAGCGCAACCCUUAUUAUCAGUUGCCAGCAUUCAGUUGGGCACUCUGGUGAGACUGCCGGUGACAAACCGGAGGAAGGUGGGGACGACGUCAAAUCAUCAUGCCCCUUAUGACCUGGGCUACACACGUGCUACAAUGGUCGGUACAACG